ACAUGGCGGACAGAACGUGUCUUAACCAAAUGUGUACUUUGCCUGUGUAUGUUUACAGGUGAGCAAACAAUAAGAGACAUGAAUAAGAUGAGCUGGGUAAGGGUUAGAGAUGUUGGGAAGAGUUGGCAAGUUAACUUAGUCGCGAAUGUUGUAUUAAAAGGUUGUAACGCCGUAAUAAGCAACUUCUGCUAGCAGCUAAGCUAAUCUUCUUGCGUCGCCAUUAGGGUCCGGUCGCGGUACAUUUAUGUAGAUGGUGUUUGUUUACUUUGUAUGCCAAGGUUAAGAACUGGGAAUAAUAUCAGGAGCCACAAUGUGCUUUUAUUUUGUGUAUUUCCAUUGCCCAUUACUAUGUCUAUUAAUAUGUAUUUUUGCGAAUUGUGUAAUACUUGGAUUAGGAUGUAAACAGACCAAGCUACACAUUUUGUAGAGCAGUGUUGAAACAUGGCGGACAGAACGUGUCUUAACCAAAUGUGUACUUUGCCUGUGUAUGUUUACAGAACUCAUUAAAGGAACUACUCUUCAAGUCACGCUUGAGUUUAUUUUCAAGUGUGCAACAGUGACACUCAUAUUCCGUGGCACGCACAGAUCCCCGUUUCAACAAAUGAGUCGACCAUGGGUGCUUAACUCAAAAUCCGUGGUGGCCUCACGGAAUCACUUAAAUUGUCCGUGAUAUGCCAACGGAAUUUUCUCCAAUGCAAGUUGAUGACAAUCAUAUUCCGUGGCACACACACAGGUCCCCGUUUCAACAAAUGAGUCGACCAUGGGUGCUUAACUCAAAAUCCGUGGUGGCCUCACGGAAUCACUUAAAUUGUCUGUGAUAUGCCAAAAAAUAUGUUUAUGCUGUAUAAACAAUAUCAACUUCAUUGCAUGUUCACAACAGGUACAGGAGGUCAGGGCACUGUGCAAACAAUGUGGUGUGGAUGAUAAGGGUCCAAGAUAGAUAUGGUUAUGAGACUGUCUGACAAAAUGUCUAAUAGAGUCACCUACAACAAGGUGUUUGAGAAAGUGUGGGGUGCUUCUGGUCACGUGGUUGGGCAGUUAUCACUUGCCCAUGUGGGGUUGUGUUUUCAGUCAAAUUCAACCUUAGAGCAGAGAGUCCACGUGACUGUGGAUCUCUUGCUGUCCUGGAAACACCUCCCCAAUGUGGCUGUGUAUGAUUAUGCCACUGCAUGCCAACCGCAGGCAGCCAGGAAUAUUUACCCCUUUUCAGGGAAGGUUACUGGAUCCCACCCCAGAGAACGUGAAGCAGGCCUCAGAGGGAAAGGUCCAUGUCAACUUGCCUUGGCUGAAAUUUAAAAAAAAAGCCAACUGACAAAGAUGGUCACCGUCUCACUGGAUCCUCACAGCAUUUUGCUUUGAACGAUGUGUUCCACCAGGGCAACAGCAAAGACCAGUGUGAGGUUCUAAGAAAGCUGGAGCUUGUGCCUGAACUUGUUGGUCUUAUUAACAGCCAGUGUGCGGAGCAGCUGCAUCAACACACAUUUUUCUACAAAGAAACGUUCUCCACCAUUACAACUUGGCAAGGAACCAAAAAAUCUAAAAUCAGUACAGCAAGAUUGUUCCCCCCAGAUGUUUCAUUCCAGUUUGACAGCCAUGGAAGGGUAGUCUUAGCUCACUCCCCAUCAGCCGUGAUGUCAACUGGGUCAUAUGGGAAAGAACAAGAAGACUCUCAAGAGUAUGAGUCAGAAGUUGAAAUGCAGUGUGACAGCCAUGGAAUAUAGUCUUAGCUCACUCCCCAUCAGCCUUGAUGUCAACUGGGUCAUCAGGGAAAGAACAAGAGGAGUCUCAAGAGUUAAAUGAUGACAGUGAGCAGAGACCUCAUGGAGACUUCCCUAGUCCCCACAAGUUUUCAGCACACAGAGCAUACUGGGGACAGAAACUCCAAGACAGCCAAGAACAACUGCUGUCUCAUGUCUUGGAUGAGACCAAAAGUCACACUCAGCACCUUGCAAUGGUGAAUAACAUCAUCAACAUCAUCGCUUUGACUUUUGGACUCUGGGUUUGCAGCGGGACAUGGAGGGAACGGCAGGCAUAGAGAAUGUGCUGUGCUUAUAUGGUUUAUGUAAUAUUUUUCAAAAUCUUUCAAUAAUUUGUGUUUAUGUGUUCUACUAGAUCCUGAACUCUUGUCUCAAAAUGAUUGAGAAGGUAGUGUAGCUCCUGUGAAAUAUUUAAUUCAAAAUUAUUGGAUAGUCUAGUUCAAUAGUCAAUAUAUUUUGACAGUAAGAGAUUUAGCAAACUUUCUCUGUUAUAGAGAGUAGAGAACCUGUUUGCUGCAGACAGCUAUGUCAUUUCCUCUUGGUUCCCACCAUCAUCGAGGAAAUCCGGUAAUUUGUUUAAAAGUUUUGCUUUAUUGAGUGAAGUUUGAGCAUUUAAUAUUCAACUAUUGUUGUCUUUUUACAGGAUAAUGCAGCCAGUCUACAGUGUAUUAUUCUCCCAGUGUCCCUACCUGGACAUUGGACACUGUGUAAAUACCUUUAUAUAUUUUCUUCCUUUUUUUUCUUUACACAACAAGUUGCUCAUUGCUGAAUUGAAUGUUUUUCUAUAAUUAAAUGCAGGUCAGCUCUGUUGGGCAUCCAGGAACAUUACACAACUCACUGCAACUGGUUAUAUUUGAAUUUGAAUAUUUAACAGAUACUGAGGCCACAGGCUAGGGAGAUUUUCUUCCUAGAUUCCCUCUGGGGCAGCGGUUGGCGAGAUGAGAGUAGAACCAGUCUGUUCAGGUUUUUAGGGCACCUCACAUAAUCCUUUCUGGACAGUGGUAGUUCUGUUUUAAACCACUUGUCCUUUUGUUUGUUUUGUUUCUUUUUUUAUUUGAUCUAAAAUAUUCCAUUCCAUAUUCCAACUAUUUUGAUUCCUUAAACAGAUGGAAACAGAACUAUUUAUCUUUUUUGAGACGGGCAGUUCUGUUUAAGCCCGUUAUGAAAACUUUUUUAUUUGAAGUUCCAACCGCUUCCUUAUUGAGUCCAAGCUUUGGUCCAAGCGUUUAUGCAUGCUUUUCAAUCAAAAGUGGAUUGAAGUUGAGUUAUUCUUUUUUUACUUUGCUUGUUAUUUGUACAGACACGUUGCCCACAGCCUCUCUUCUGGCCCCUGGAAGAGCUUGGUGUGAAUGAUGUCCAGGACCUAACAAAGCAAGAGUGCUCCAACAACUGUGGCGUGUUUGUUUUGAUGUACACUCUACAUUGUAAUGGGGGCCAAUUGUGAUUUCAGAGAGGAACACAUGCUGCAAAUUAGGAGGUGGUGGUGUCUCUCUCUCCUGCAGAACUUCCCCAUGUCGUAAGAGCCCUGAAUAGCACACAUUUGAAUCAAAUCACAAAAAAACUGUUUUACUCACUGUCAACAGACCAACAUGAAUGUUUUCGUAGUGAAUGUAUGUUGUCAUUAAAUCACUAAGGUCUGAAGAAGGCCGAUUGCAGGACAGAAAACGGCGACGAGUGCAAGGA